rnacentral:rRNA from 1 species
GAGUUUGAUCGUGGCUCAGGAUUAACGCUAGCGGCAGGCCUAAUACAUGCAAGUUGAACGGGAUUUCGGGUAGCAAUAUCUGAAUGAGAGUAGCGCACGGGUGCGUAACACGUAUGCAACCUACCUAUAACUGGGGGAUAGCCUCCCGAAAGGGAGAUUAAUACCGCAUAAUAUUAUUGAGUGGCAUCACUUGAUAAUUAAACCUCAGGGGUUAUAGAUGGGCAUGCGUCCGAUUAGCUAGUUGGUGAGGUAAUGGCUCACCAAGGCUACGAUCGGUAGGGGUCUGAGAGGAUGAUCCCCCACACUGGUACUGAGACACGGACCAGACUCCUACGGGAGGCAGCAGUAAGGAUAUUGGACAAUGGGCGCAAGCCUGAUCCAGCCAUGCCGCGUGAAGGAUGAAGGCCCU